GCCCCUGGCCUGCCAGGACCCAGAGGGAGCGGAGCACGCGCCUUUGGGAAUCUUCGGUGCGCCAAGUCUGUUCGCCGCCGGGGUCUAUCACCCCCGCCCCUCGCCUCUGCCCGUGAGCGUGUGAGUUGUAGCGUACCCUGGGGUCUGUUCUGGAGGAGGCCUGAGAGCGGGGUUGCCUGGGGCGUGGGUCUCUCAUCCCUCUCGUCCUGGUGAAGAAGAAGAGUAUACCCAGCGGCAGCUGGCUUGGCUUUUUCAGAGGAAACAGAGACUCUCAGACAUGAAUACUGUGACACUGACCACCAGGCCAACUUAACAUCAGCAGAUAUCCUGUCUCAGAUGAAGAGGAAUCUUGGUACCAAUAAUUGCAGAGGUAGAAGUCAGAGAAUGGCCUGUCCAGAAGACAGCCAAAUACAUCCUUCAAACAGACUUCACUGCAGGAGACAGAGUGGAUUCAUCCUGUAUUCUCCAUGUAGACUUCCAUCUUCAUGAGUACUCCAAGAAGAUGGUUCAGUUGACUAUUGCAAAGUCUCAGGUAUGUCUUUAUCAGCAGCAUGAAAAUGGACUAAUAGUACCAGUAGAGUGGGGCAUUGCUGAAAAGAUACCCGAAAAUGUGGAAGCAACUUUGGAACUGGGUGUUGAAAUAAUCUGGAGGGCUCAGAAGAAGAUAGGAAAAUGUAGGAAAGUUUGGAACCUCCUAGAGACUGUGAAUGGCAUUGACAAAAAUACUGAUAGUGAUAUGAACAAUAAGGUCCAGGCUGAGGUGGUCUCAGAUGGAGAUGAAGACCUUGUUGGGAACUGAAGUAAAGGUGACCCUUGUUAUGUUUUAGCAAGGAGACUGGCAGCAUUUCACCCUUGCCCUAGAGAUUUGUGGAACUUAGAGCUUGAGAGAGAUGACUUAGGGUAUCUGGUGGAAUAAAUUUCUAAGCAGCAAAGCAUUCAAAAGGUGACUUGGGUGCUGUUAAAAACAUUCUGUUUUAAAAGGGAAACAAGAGCAUAAAUGUGGAAAAUCUGCAGCCUGAUGAUGCAGUAGAAAAGAAAAACCCAUUUUUUUUAAGGAGAAAUUCAAGCUGGCUGCAGAAAUUUGCAUAAGCAGCAAGGAGCCUAAUGUUAAUCCCCAAGACCAUGGGGAAAAUGUCUCCAGGUCAUGUCAGAGACCUUCAUGGCAGCCCCUCCCAUCACAGGCCCAGAGGCCCAGGAGGAAAAAGUGGUUUUGUGGGCUGGGCCCAGGGUCUCUGUGCUGUGUGCAGCCUAGGGACUUGGUGCCCUGUGUCCCAGCUGCUCCAGCCAUGGCUGAAAGGAGCCAACAUAGAGCUUGGGCUGUGGCUUCAGAGGGUAGAGGCCCCAAGCAUUGGCAGCUUCCAUGUGAUGUUGAGCCUGUGGGUGCAGAGAUGUCAAGAAUUGAGAUUUGGGAACCUCUGCCUAGAUUUCAGAAUAUAUAUGGAAACACCUGGAUGUCCAGGCAAAAGUUUGCUGCAGGGGCAGAGCCCUCAUGGGGAACCUCUCCUAGGGCAGUGUGGAAGGGAAAUGUGGGGCAGAGCCCCCACACAGAGUCCCUGUUGGGGCACUGCCUAGUGGAGCUGUGAGAAGAAGGCCACAGUCCCAGAACGGUAGACCCCAGAAUGGUAGACCCCAGAAUGGUAGAUCAACCACCAACUUGCAUCUUGUGCCUGGAAAAGCUACAGACACUCAACAUCAGCCUGAGAAAGCAGCCAGGAGGGAGGCUGUACUCUGCAAAGCCACAGGGGCGGAGCUGCACAAGACCAUGGGAACCUAUCUCUUGCAUCAGCAUGACCUGAAUGUGAGACAUGGAGUCAAAGGAGAUCAUUAUGGAGCUUUAAAAUUUGACUGCCCCACUGGAUUUCAGACUUGCAUGGACCCUGUAACCCCUUUGUUUUGGCCAAUUUCUCUCAUUUGGAACAGCUGUAUUUACCCAAUACCUGUACCCCCCAUUGUAUCUAGGAGGUAACUAGCUUGCUUUUACAGGCUUGUAAGUGGAAGGGACUUGCCUUGUCUCAGAUGAGACUUUGGACUGUGGACUUUUGGGUUAAUGCUGAAAUGAGUUAAGACUUUGGGGAACUGUUGGGAAGGAAUGAUUGGUUUUGAAAUGUGAGGAUUAUGAAAUUUGGAGGAGCCCAGGGAGGAAUGAUAUGGUUUGGCUGUGUCCCCACCCAAAUCUCAACUUGAAUUGUAUCUCCCAGAAUUCCCACAUGUUGUGGGAGGGACGCAGUGGGAGGUAAUUGAAUCAUGGAGGCCAGUCUUUUCUGUGCUAUUCUCGUGAUAAUAAGUCCCACAAGAUCUGGUGGGUUUAUGAAGAGUUUCUGCUUUUGCUUCUUCCUCAUUUUGCUCUUGAUGCCACCACGUAAGAAGUACCUUUUGCCUCCCACCUGAUUUUGAGGCCUCCCCAGCCAUGUGGAACUGUAAGUCCAAUUAAACCCUUUUUGUUUCCAGUCUCAGAUAUGUCUUUAUCAGCAGCAUGGAAACGAACUAAUACAAUCAUAGUUUUUAAAAACCAAUCUAAAUGUAACUAUUGAACAUGAUUAGCUGUUUCAUCCCUAGUAGAGUGACAGAAGGAAACAUCCAUAGACAGGAGUAAUAAGAAACCAGCUAAACUUCUAAACCAUUUUUAAAGGAUGCGUGUGAGCUGGCAUAACCUACCUACUCUUUCCUAUGGGCCUCUACUGAGAGCAUGGAGGUAAUACAUCUAAUACACUGAAGACCAGGGCAAGAGAGCUGGAAGAAAUCCCUCUUAAGCACUCCAGGCCUUCACUGAGUAUGAGGUGCUGGUCUCCAAAGGCAGAGGGCAAGGCAAGGCAGAGAGGGAUCUCCUGGGGCACAGACAACUGACAAAAGAAACACUUGGAUUGUUGUAUAAGAGGAGUGAGCUUUGUAAAUACCACGUUAGCUGGCCUGCUGUGGAACAGAAUGCCUGUGAAUGACAGUAGUCAGGUAGUGGAUGAACACUGAUCUGAGAGCCUGUAAAAGAAACUCUUUGGAAUGAUAAUGUCAUCUAGACCUUUGAUACGCAAAGUGUGAUUCCUGGACAGAUGUAUUGGCUUUACCUGGCAGCUUGUUGGAAAUGUAAAACCUCAGGCCUCACCCCAGACCUACUGAAUUAUUUAUAU
ensembl:lncRNA ENTPD1-AS1 ENTPD1 antisense RNA 1